rnacentral:rRNA from 1 species
AGAUUGAACGCUGGCGGUAGGCUUAACACAUGCAAGUCGAACGGUAACAGAUCUAGCUUGCUAGAUGCUGACGAGUGGCGGACGGGUGAGUAACGCGUAGGAAUCUACCUUAUAGUGGGGGACAACCUGGUGAAAACCAGGCUAAUACCGCAUACGCCCUACGGGGGAAAGCAGGGGAUCUUCGGACCUUGCGCUAUAAGAUGAGCCUGCGUUAGAUUAGCUUGUUGGUGAGGUAAAGGCUCACCAAGGCGACGAUCUAUAGCUGGUCUGAGAGGAUGAUCAGCCACACUGGGACUGAGACACGGCCCAGACUCCUACGGGAGGCAGCAGUGGGGAAUAUUGCGCAAUGGGCGAAAGCCUGACGCAGCCAUACCGCGUGUGUGAAGAAGGCUCUAGGGUCGUAAAGCACUUUAAGUAGGGAGGAAGGCCUGUAAAUUAAUACUUUGCAGGAUUGACGUUACCUACAGAAUAAGCACCGGCUAACUCCGUGCCAGCAGCCGCGGUAAUACGGAGGGUGCAAGCGUUAAUCGGAAUUACUGGGCGUAAAACGCGCGUAGGCGGUUUGUUAAGCGAGAUGUGAAAGCCCUGGGCUCAACCUGGGAACUGCAUUUCGAACUGGCAGGCUAGAGUACAAGAGAGGGUGGUAGAAUUUCCUGUGUAGCGGUGAAAUGCGUAGAUAUAGGAAGGAAUACCAGUGGCGAAGGCGGCCACCUGGCUUGAUACUGACGCUGAGGUGCGAAAGCGUGGGGAGCGAACAGGAUUAGAUACCCUGGUAGUCCACGCCGUAAACGAUGUCAACUAGCCGUUGGAGUCCUUGAGGCUUUAGUGGCGCAGCUAACGCGAUAAGUUGACCGCCUGGGGAGUACGGCCGCAAGGUUA